CCCUUAGAUGUUCUGGGCUGCACGCGCGCUACACUGAAGCGUUCAACGAGUAUUCACCUUGCCCGGGAGGGUUGGGUAAUCUUUUGAAAACGCUUCGUGAUGGGGAUAGAUUAUUGCAAUUAUUAAUCUUCAACGAGGAAUUCCUAGUAAGCGCGAGUCAUCAGCUCGUGCUGAUUACGUCCCUGCCCUUUGUACACACCGCCCGUCGCUCCUACCGAUUGAGUGCUCAGGUGAAUAAUUCGGACUGCAGCAGUGUUUGGAUCCCGAACGCUGCAGCGGAAAGUUUAGUGAACCUUAUCACUUAGAGGAAGGAGAAGUCGUAACA
rnacentral:rRNA from 1 species